ACCACUUCUCGGCUUUUUGGGUAGGAUCAAGUGCAGUAUCUGUUCUUAUCAGGUUAAUAUCGGAUACGUCCUCUAUCCAAGGACAGUAUAUUAAGUGGGUUUUUGGAGCAGGGAGAUGGAACAGGAGCUUGCUCGGUCCCCUGCACGCAUCGACCUGGUCUUGCAGUACCUCCAGGAACGUUGCACCCCCC
ensembl:snRNA U2 U2 spliceosomal RNA